rnacentral:rRNA from 1 species
AGUGAACGCUGGCGGUAGGCCUAACACAUGCAAGUCGAACGGCAGCACAGAGGAGCUUGCUCCUUGGGUGGCGAGUGGCGGACGGGUGAGGAAUACAUCGGAAUCUACUCUGUCGUGGGGGAUAACGUAGGGAAACUUACGCUAAUACCGCAUACGACCUACGGGUGAAAGCAGGGGACCUUCGGGCCUUGUGCGAUUGAAUGAGCCGAUGUCGGAUUAGCUAGUUGGCGGGGUAAAGGCCCACCAAGGCGACGAUCCGUAGCUGGUCUGAGAGAAUGAUCAGCCAAACUGGAAAUGAGACACGGGCCAGACUCCUACGGGAGGCAGCAGUGGGGAAUAUUGGACAAUGGGCGCAAGCCUGAUCCAGCCAUACCGCGUGGGUGAAGAAGGCCUUCGGGUUGUAAAGCCCUUUUGUCAGGGAAGAAAAGGCUCCUUCUAAUAUAGGGGGCUCAUGACGGUACCUGAAGAAUAAGCACCGGCUAACUACGUGCCAGCCGCCGCGGUAA